UUCACACCCAUGGCUGCCUGGAGACCCCAUGAAGGACCCCACAGAGGACCACCAAGCUUGCAGUCGCCCAUCACUGCUCUGAGACGGGAGCCCCCAUGGCUGUCUCUGCCUUAUGAGGAGACAUGUGCCUACCUGAAAAUCUUUCUCUGCCACUUUCUAAAGCCAAUUUUUGGAUGCACCAGAGGUCCGAUGAGAUUUCUUCUGACAUAUAUCCACAAAGGAGUGAAAAGUGGUGCUUCAAAAUGGUAACAGGGUCACCACAAGAUUUCAUCAUCUCAAGGAAUUCAUUUUAUUACCACCGAAACUUAUGGAAGGAAUCCCAUUUUGGUUUCAUCUUUGGGGGCUCCUUUCUUAGUUAACUCAAAGGCCCGUAAUUUCCAGGGGGCCAGAGGCACCGUGUGUUCAGUGAUGGAGUGAGGAAGAUCUAGACUGUGGAGGAGCCUGAUUGCUACUCACGGUGCAACGGCCUUUUAAGAAGGCUUCAAAAGGGAGCUUGGGAGGCUGGUUAAAACCAGCCCUUACUUUCCUUACCGUUCUGCAAAGCGCGUGCCCUCUGCCUGCAACUUGGGUAUGCCUCCCCUUCCCUAGACGAUGAAUUCGCGAGGGACCUCACGGGCUGCUGAGUACAAGCGCGCUUUUGAAUGGAUGCUUUUACGGAUAUCAGUCCAAAAGUCACCAUCGGCUGGAACUGGAAAGCAGAGUUUUGUUUUUGCUUCUCUCCCCAGGGGCGGCCGGUUCAGCUCAAAAGCUCAAUUCUUGGAAGGGCCACUUCUUCUUGACACCGGAGAAGACACCUCUCCCUGUGCACCUAAAAAUAAAAAAUAAAUGAAUAAAUGAGUUUGUAAAUUUUUAACGAGGCCCCCCGGCCCCCUCCCGCAGGCCAUAAUUCCCUUUCAGCUGCAAGGCCGGC